UCCUGCACUCCAACCAACGAAAAAAUGAUACCUGGUGCUCUGGUCGCUAUAGUAAUAUAUCCAAAAAAAUACCGGCACUCAAGGAGUUACCAAUCUUAAAUUUUCUUUUAUUCCAAGGACGACGUCAACGUUUCAGCUCCCCAUGGAGCUUUCAUCAGGACACCAACUAUACAAUACUAAAAAGCUUAUAUAAGAAGCUAUUAGGGGGCGGAGCCAACGGCCGAGCUGCAUGGACAUGUUUUGCUAGCUCUCCCAAAAAGCCACCAGCUAAUCCGUCCACAUCGAGCUGAAAAUAAAUGAUGGGUCACCCCAAAAGAUGCCAAACCCCUCAACACCAAACGGGGAAGCCCCCGACGAACAAACACGGCGCACUGACCAAAUUCUACCGUGAUAACACGGAACACCAACACGAGGCCGCGGGCCUGUCCAUGACGCCGGAAUCCCCUCAGGACGGCUCGGCACCCUCAAGUCCGGAAGGGUCCAUGAGAUCCACAAAUCCAGAGGACAUGGAGCUCAAGGAGUUUAUACGAAACCUACCCACUAAAGAUGACAUAGCAAACUUGGCAAGAUGGAAGCCUCCUUCAAGGCGUGCCUAGACACCAUUGGG